CCUACGGGUGGCUGCAGUGAGGAAUAUUGGUCAAUGGACGAGAGUCUGAACCAGCCAAGUAGCGUGAAGGAUGACUGCCCUAUGGGUUGUAAACUUCGUUUAUAUGGGAAUAAAAUGGUCCACGUGUGGGAUUUUGUAUGUACCAUAUGAAUAAGGAACGGCUAACUCCGUGCCAGCAGCCGCGGUAACACGGAGGAUCCGAGCGUUAUCCGGAUUUAUUGGGUUUAAAGGGAGCGUAGGUGGUUUGUUAAGUCAGUUGUGAAAGUUUGCGGCUCAACCGUAAAAUUGCAGUUGAAACUGGCAGUCUUGAGUACAGUAGAGGUGGGCGGAAUUCGUGGUGUAGCGGUGAAAUGCUUAGAUAUCACGAAGAACUCCGAUUGCGAAGGCAGUUCACUGGACUGCAACUGACACUGAGGCUCGAAAGUGUGGGUAUCAAACAGGAUUAGAUACCCGAGUAGUC
rnacentral:rRNA from 1 species